GACGAACCGUGCGAACGUUAUUCGGAAUCACUGGGCUUAAAGCGCGUGUAGGCGGGGCGGAACGUCGGUCGCUGAAAUCCCCCGGCUCAACCGGGGAAGUGGCCCCGAUACGACCGCCCUGGAGCGACGUAGGGGGAACUGGAACUUCCGGUGGAGCGGUGAAAUUCGUAGAUAUCGGGAGGAACACCUGUGGCGAAGGCGGCCAUCUGGACGUCAACUGACGCUGAGACGCGAAAGCAUGGGGAGCAAACAGG
rnacentral:rRNA from 1 species